AGUGCUGCCACCCUAGUAAUCCAGUGUCCUGGCAUUGAACCCAGUGCCCAGUUAUUAUGUGCGUGGAGCCCGUGUGUUCUCCUUGUGUUUCUGUGCGAUCCUCCGCUUAUCUAAACUGGCCUUGGGGAGCACCAGUGGACCCUGAGAUGACCUGGCACUCCACACCACACAGGCUUGGUUUGGGCGUUGUGCCCAAUGCUGAGAAGUUGACCCUGAAUUGGAUGUCACCUGAGAAGUUAUAUUUGUUUUAGAAUAUGAUGCAAUUUACUGAAAUAGUUUCUCAUUAAUAGGGUUAGUAGUCCAAAUGUGUGUGAAGCGGACACCUCAAAGUGAAGAGAAGACCUUGCCAGUGUGUGUUGGCAUCCAGGAGGACAAGAAUGUUUGCCAGUCUGCAGGAUGGUGUCCACCGGUGCAAAGGAGCAGUUUGAACCCCCACGUCUACGCCAGUCUGCGGUGGCGGAGGAGUUAACUACUCAGGGGGAUGUCGCGCAAUCCUAGGAGACAACGGGCACCGUGCUGUCCCACCAUUGAUGGAUUACACCACGACCAGCAUCAUCUCAUUCUGCCAUGUGAAGCCUGAAAGCCCUGAGGACUGACAGAUCACUGAUGUGAGGCAUGUGGUACGUGUGACCGUUCUAACACAGAUGUUGGGAACAGGAAAAGGCAAGAUAAAGGAGCAGGGGGACCCUCCAUUACCCACCAGCACGGACAAUCUCGCUCAAAUCUCCAAAUGGUAAUCAGCUGCUCUAACACCACCAAAGGGGAAGACCCCCUCAUAAGAUGAGCACCAAAGGGGACCCUGUGAAACAUAACAUGAAUUAUGAAAACCGUCAAAGCGGAGAGUGAGCUCCGUGUUCUGAUUGGUGAAUCGGCAGCAGAGGGGACAUGCAACUUCAAACACGUCUGUGAGCCGCAGGAUCCCCAAAGCAAGCGAAGUUGAGACUGGGUGGGCCUGUGGCUGACCUGAGUGCAAGGGAACGUCACCCAAAAUUACCGCACAAAAAAAGGGGGCUACUUUAAUUAUGGAGGCCCAAUUGGGAGUCUGCAUCAGACGUAUCUGUCGGCAUAUAAAUGGAGCGCUUGAUGGCCAAAGGCUUAUGGACCAAUCACAACACAUAAUUUCACUAGUGUGACAUCAGCAAACUGAGGAGGAAUCUUUGACAGCACAGGAGACAGACGUGGGAAAGAAAUAAGACGCCAUCAUCAGAGUUUGUAAAAAGGUCAAAGCCACCAAUUUGAAACAAGAAAACUCCAAAGGACAGGAUAUCAGAAAAACGUUUAACCCAUCGUGUCGAUUAUCUGUGGGUCAUGACCUCUGAGGACACGCCCCCAACACUGCAACUGCACUGUCCGAACACUGAAUAUCCAAAAUGGCGGCGAUUGUUAAAUUAAAGGAUUGUGGCCCUAAAUACAUCAAAAAUGCAGUACAAUUAAAUGAAAAUUAAACAUCAGAAAUGAAUUCAACAACAUCAGAAGCCCCCAAAACAAGAGUUGGAUCACACAAACUGAUUGAAUUAUGUGAUGUGUCUGAAAUGAGGGGGACAUGGACUGAGUGACCAGGCGAGGAGGUGUGCCUCAUGGGCCGUCGGAAGGCCACUUUAGGUCAGUCGCAGUAUAAAAUGGCGCUACCCACUGACCAGAAACCACGGAACAAGGCAGCGCCGGGACAUUCGCUCGUCCAUAUUUCUGUCUUUAUUUUUGUACGUCUUUAAAAUGCAAAUAAUAAGCUGCAGUUCAUCUGAAGCCGAGUGUUCAUAUUGGUUUUACUUUAUUGCUUCUUCCCCCACAGUAAUGAGCAGCCGCGAUAUUAAAACCUCGACUUUAUGCUGGUAAACGCACAACUGCAGAUGCUACGCUUUUUUCCGUUUUCUUUUCUUAUUUUGCCUCUUCCAGUCCGUUACAUCCAGGAACCGUCCCUGUCAAACAGACCCCUUGUAUUUUGACAAAGAAUGGAUUUUAUGCCAGCAGCCGUGCUGUUGGCGUAGAAGAUUAAUAAUACAUUGAAUCUUUAAGGUCUAGCAGGGAGCAGCGGCUCUUACUGCCGCUGUUUACUUGCACUUCAGCUGGAGCACCGUCGGCUCACGAGGGCUUCUGGGAAGCAAUUGACAGCUAACUAUUUCAGAGACAGUCAAGAAGAUAUGAGCAUUUGAUCAAAUGUUAUUGCUGUGCCUCAAAUUGGAAGUAAUGUCAUUAGGAGGGCCCAUGUGUCUGCAAGCCAGUCAAGUCUACGGUCCCCACAAACUAAUGACACAAGACUCUGCUGAGCUCCCUGUGCUGCACACUUCCAAAUUAAACUGCCAUACAAAAAAUAAAACAACUUUGUCCUCAGUGCACACCGAAGGAGGCGACUCCACAGUAAGCAGGGUGCUCUUCUUGUUUGGCCGUAAUUGAAAGCAGAGCCUGAACACAUUUUUAUUGCGGAGGCUUUGACUAAACUGCAUGUGGCCCUGGUACAGGGUUUGAUCGAUGAGUCGAUGAUUAAUGAUUUCAAAUGUUAAAUUACGUAACAGCCAGCUCAACUGUACGGUGGCAAAUGAACUUGAUUGCUCAGUUAACCCGUUUCGUUUUCUUUAUUAAUAACAAUCAUGAGCCACAACAAACUCCUUUCAGCAUUACGUUAAGGAAGAACUCUGUUAUGAGCCUGGCAUCAAGUGCGUAGCACAAGUCAGCAAAAUGUGGAAUUCUGAACGGCGUUACACCGUCCCACCACCUCCUAGCCAAUCAGAAACCACUUUCAGCACUGAGUACAGCAUUAGUGUACCAUCCACUGAGAGUCAGGACACGAGAAAGAACAAAGUCGAAAAACAAAAGUCAAAAAGCGGAAGGCAAAACGGACCAUCGGAACUCGAGGGGCAUCAGCAUGAAUACACAAAAAUCCGACAGAGAAAGAGUCCCAGCGUAACGUAGGAAACGAUUCAAAUCACAGGUACGUCGGAGCAGUCUCGAUGAACUUUAAAUGGUCGCGCCAAAGACAACAUCGCCGUGUCAUCCUGAUGCAUCCAGGAAUACGACGUCAAGGAAACGGCCAACAUGAAGCCCGCAACAGACCAGCGCCUAUGGACAAAAGAAAAAGACAAACAAGACUGAAAUGAAAAGCUCCCAUCAAAUCACGUCCGCCACUGCCAAACACAAAAGGGGUGAUGAAGGUGCAGCCAACAGUACCCCUCCACUCUCUGAGACCUAGGUCGAGUUUGGACUCCAGCGAAUCACUCACAGUGACUAAUGGACGUUAUCGUGGGUUUCAAAGGAAUACUGGGACACCAAAAUCCUUAAAGACGACGGUAACGGGCAAUGUCACAGUGAACUCCACAUCAAUAAUUAAAAGGCAGAUGGCAUCAACUGCUGCCUUCUCUUGGCUGCUGGUGGAAACACAUUUGUGAGCAACUGCAGCAGAAAUAAAGUGUCCCACCAUCUGACACAAGUGAACCAAAUUUCACUGACUUCGGCCAUAGUGUGAAGUGAAAAUCAAGGGGCUCAUGGGAAGUUUUGAUUGACAUGAGGAGGAAACUUCAGACUUGAAAGGCAACAACAAAGCAACUGGAUGGAUGAAAAAAGACGGAAAGUGGACAUUGUGACUGGCGUGGGUGAGGCCAUAACUAGAACGGUAUGUUUGAGGUUGGACAGCAGCAAGGAUUAGCUAAAUAUCUGCUUGUCACACGAAUCACCACCACAGUAGAGACAUCCUCAUUGGCCAAUGAAAUGUGUCCGUUGUAAUGAGAACUUUAAUCAAAAGCUGUGGAGUUUUAAGGGGUCACAGCUGCCCAGCCCUGUGUUCAUGUGGACCUCCUAGGUUUAAACAGAACGUUAGAGAGGGACAGGGAGCAGCUUAGAGACGCCUGUCCAUCUAAGACCCAUUCACAAGUACCCAGCAUUGUCACCCACUGUGCCCCCCAAAUACUCUUCUGUCCUUUUCAGAAUUGAUGUCAAAGCCUCAAAUAUGCCAAGAGCAUCACACAUAAAUCAGACAUCCCAUUUAUUUAAUUUCACGGAUGCUCCCCCAAAUUCAGACCCCCCAAAAGCCCUUCAUAUUUAUUUACUUAUUUGGCUGACCCCUUUAUCUAAGGCGACUUACAAAUAUCUAAGAUACACUCGGUUCCAUUUCCUUUGUUUUUCCAAAUGAAGCGACUUGCUCAGGGUCACACAGCGUCAGUUGUGGGAUUUGAACCCACAGCCUCAGGAUUCUCAGUCCAAAGUCGUCACCACUGUGUCACACUGCCUGCCACUCCUGACUCGGAGUGGGUAUCGUCACCAUCCUCAAUGGCCACUCACAACUAGCAGCAGUUAGCGGCGCACAUCGGCCACACGGCAGACUUGGUGAUGACGCUGGCCAUAAAUCGAGGCCAAGAGGGAGACGAGCACAAAACACCAGACACAUGAAUCGUUCCAAAGAGCAGCAGAAUAAAGAGCUUGACGAUAAAGCUUGGCCGCACAAAGCCUGAUGUGAUCCUGAUGGCGGGGGGCUGGGGUGGUGGGGGCGCGUGAUGAUAUUCUUAGCAAUUCCGAGCAGUUACAGAUGAGAUAUGGGGACAGCAAAAGGAAAUAAUGAGGCUACAGACCAGACAGAUGCAUGAAUUUGCAAAGCUGACAAAACUGAAAUGCCCCGGGAAGAGCGAGGAGUCGGACAUUAAUGCAGAUUGCAGCUGAGGUGACGCCAGGGGGGUCAGAGGCAAUCAGAAUGGCAAAAGCACCAAGCAGGAGUGAGCCUGAGCACAUAAGCACUUGACCCAUCAAGGGAGGUCAAGCAGUGAGGUGGUGGCCACCAUCAGACAAAGAUUAAGGGAACUGGACGUGGACGACUUUAAUGGAAUGGCACUUAAAGGGGCCAGUGAGCAACUGGGGGGAGUGCAUUGUUGUGGAGGGCGCAUGGCCAAACGUGAACCGCCUUUAUAAGGGAGCUUUGGGGACAACCGAAU